UUGUAAUUGGCUCUGAUACAUGCUCAUUAAUUUUGUUCUGACAUUAUUGCCUUGAGUUAUAUCAUUCAUAUUCUUGCAAUAAUUCCACAUGCAUUGACUGAAAACCAGAGUACAAUAAGGGAGAGAAAUAUCUAAGUUUAGUUUAUUACUUUGCGCUUAAUGUUUUAUUAUUUUGCAACCUUUUUGAUGUUGUCAAAAAGAGGAAGAAAUAUCUGAGUAUAUGCUCAUAAUGUUUUAUGUGUUGAUUAUGUUAAGUUGAUUAAAUCUAAAACAUUAUCAUGAAGUAUGUUUUAAAUAUGCAUGUUUUCUACUUCAUGCAACUUAGCUAUACAUUAGUUCUAUAACACAAUCUAUUUUAUAUUGCAUAUACUCCAAGUUCUAUCAUCAUCAAAAAGGGGGAGAUUGUUGACCCAAAGAUUGAUUUUGAUGAUCACAAAACCUUAAAGUAUAAUUACUAAUGUGUGUUGCAAGAAGAAAGAUAAUUUGUUUUGCAAGGAACAUAGCAAGUUGGAAAAAUACAAGGCCUCAAAAGCUCUCAAGAAAAGUUGGAAGAAAGCCACACUUCAUUGGCUCAAGUUUCAAGUUCAAAGGAUUCAAGUUGGAGUAACAAAUUCAAAGAAAAAUUCAAAAGAACAGUCCUCGAGUCGACUACUAGAAGUUCAGAGUCGACUUUGGAGUUUCAAGAAACAGUGCUCGAGUCGACUCCUACUGUUCACGAACCGACUCUCGUAGAAAAAGACAGAGAGUUGAUUUUCAGCGCUACAGUGCUCGAGUCGACUCCAGCUGCAGUCGAGUCGACUCCUAUUCACGAGUCGACUCGAGAACGCUGGAAGGCAUAACGGCUAGUUUUUUCUCAACUCCAACGGCUCUAUUUUUGUCUCUAACGGCUAGAUCUUUGUUCCCACGCCAUCCAAAGCUAUAAAAUCAAGGAAAGAGCUAGGGGAGAAGUUAAGGAAGUGAGAGAGAACACAUAGGGAAGAUAUUUCAAAGAGAUUUCAAGAGAAACCUUCCAAAAGCACAAAAGGGCCAUUCAAAGCAAAAGAGAGAGAAGAGCAUCCGAGUGAAUCCCAAAGCUUCCUCUCCAACUGUGUGCUGCCUCAGUAAUCCUCUACCUCGUGCGAAAUCAGAAGAGGGUCAAGUAAAGAAGAAGCUGAGUUCCUUCAUCUACAAAACUUGUUUAAGGGCUUCUUCUCUUUACUCUAUUUGUUUAUAUUUGUUAUAUCUGCUUGUUUGAAAAGCUUGUAUUUAUUUUAAACUCCUAUUCUGACAUCUUGUAACUUGAUUCAAUCAAGGGAUUGAAUCAAGGGAUUAAGGGUUGUUGGUGAGCCAGUGAAAACCAACGUUGUAGGUUGUAGUUAGUAAUCCGGAAAAAACCAACUGGGUUGGAUUGUGAGCCCGUGAAAACAGUCGGAUUGGUUCUAGUUAGUGAGCCUGUGAAAACCAACCGAGUUCGUUGUGAUCUCGUGAAAACAACAAGUUAGGUUGUAAGCUUGUAAAACAACCGGCUGUAAUCUGAGGGAUUAUAGUGAAAUUCCCAAAAGAUCUUGGAAAGUGGAUGUAAGUGCUGGGGUGCACCGAACCACUAUACAUCUUUGUGUUUGUGAUGCCUUAUCUCUUGUGUUUCAUGCCUUACAUUCACACUUGAUUGUGUAAUAUCUCUAGCUUUGUUUCCUAUAGAUUUAUAAGUGAUUGUUUAGAACUUGCUUAGCUUAUACUCUAUUCUUACCAUUCACAUAGAUUAAAAUUGAUCAUACAACUAUAAGUUAAUUUUAGAUCAAUUGCACCCUAAAGCCAUAGUAUAAUUGCUCUAGCUUAUUUUUCCACUGCUUUACUUGUAAUUGCCUAGAGCUUAAGUAAAUAACAUCUUAUCAUUCCGCUGCAUUCAAUUCAAAGUUAAUUAGGGAACAUAAUUUUUAGAAAAUCCAAUUCACCCU
rnacentral:lncRNA from 1 species